UACGGGGGGAGCAAGCGUUGUUCGGAUUUACUGGGCGUAAAGGGCGGGUAGGCGGCCACCGCAAGUCGACUGUGAAAUCUCCGGGCUUAACUCGGAACGGUCAAGUGAUACUGUCGCGCUAGAGUGCGGAAGGGGCAAUCAGAAUUCUUGGUGUAGCGGUGAAAUGCGUAGAUAUCAAGAGGAAUACCUGAGGUGAAGACGGGUUGCUAGGCCGACACUGACGCUGAAGCGCGAAAGCCAGGGGAGCAAACGGG
rnacentral:rRNA from 1 species